rnacentral:tRNA from 1 species
GGCUCGGUAGCUUAGUUGGUAAAGCGCUCGUCUAGCAUACAAGAGUCAUGGGUUUAAAUCCCAGCCGAGCAC